rnacentral:lncRNA from 1 species
AGUAGUAGCAGCUUUAAUGGUGGUUGUAGCACUAGUGGUACUGUGGACAUGGCGGUUCGUGAAGUGGGUCUGGAUAAAACCGAAGAUGCUUGAGAAUUACCUGAGAAGACAGGGUCUUGCCGGAACCUCUUACACGCCUCUCGUCGGAGAUAUAAAGAGGAAUGUUGAUAUGAUGAUGGAGGCGAGAUCUAAACCCAUCAAGAUAACGGAUGAUAUCACCCCACGUCUCCUUCCUCUUGCCUUGAAGAUGUUCAAUUCUCACGGUAUAGUGUCUUUCUUCGCUUUCCUUUUUUGUUUCAGCAGAGUUUGGGAGUUGAAUAGUGUUUGAGUUAUGUUGAUGGAACAGGAAAGACUUUCUUCAUAUGGAUUGGACCAAUUCCAGCGAUCAUGAUAACGAAUCCUGAGCAGAUCAAGGAAGUCUUUAAUAAGAUCUAUGACUUUGAGAAGGCUGCUACAUUCCCUUUGUUCAGAUUGUUAGCAGGCGGGCUCGCGAGCUAUAAAGGAGAUAAAUGGGCGAGUCAUAGGAGGAUCAUCAACCCGGCUUUUCACCUCGAGAAGAUCAAGGUUUUUGUUUUUGGCUGUUGUCUACAUCCAGUUAGACUGUAUGUGUGUGUGAUCGUUUUACCAACCAUGUUUUCUUUGGUAUACAGAACAUGGUUCCUGCGUUCUACCACUGUUGCAGCGAGGUUGUCUGCCAAUGGGAGAGGCUAUUUACGGAUAAAGAAUCGUCGUCUCUUGAAGUCGAUGUUUGGCCUUGGCUUGUGAAUAUGACUGCGGAUGUAAUCUCGCAUACUGCUUUUGGAAGCAGCUAUAAAGAAGGGCAGAGGAUAUUUCAACUCCAAGGGGAAUUAGCUCAACUCAUUGCACAAGCUUUUAAGAAAUCUUACAUCCCUGGAUUGAGGUAAAACCAUUUGUCAUGUCAUAAACUAAACUUUGAAGAUUGUGAGCUUAUGAGAAGUUGUUGUCUGGUGUAGGUUUUACCCAACAAAGAACAAUAGAAGGAUGAAAGCAAUAGACAGAGAAAUAGAUGUAAUACUGAGAGGAAUUGUGAGCAAACGAGAGAAGGCGAGAGAAACUGGAGAAGUGUUGGAUGAUGAUUUAUUGGGGAUAUUGCUUGAAUCAAAUUCUGGGGAAUCUCAAGGAAAUGGAAUGAGCGUAGAAGAAGUGAUGAAAGAGUGCAAGUUGUUUUAUUUUGCGGGUCAAGAAACAACGUCAGUUAUGUUGGUCUGGACUAUGGUCUUAUUGAGCCAUCACCAAGACUGGCAAGCUCGCGCACGAGAGGAAGUAAGGCACAUACUUAGUGAUGAUAAUAAACCCGAUAUAGAUUCUCUCAGCAACCUCAAAGUCGUAAGUGAACAAAAAUCGCUACUUCCAUCAUCCUCUUGCAUCGGAAAACUGCAUAUAUAGUUACCAAAAUCACUUGAACUUCAAUUUAAAGUUUGCCGUUGAAUGGUUUUUCAACAGAUGACUAUGAUCUUCAAUGAGGUUUUGAGGCUAUACCCUCCGGUGGCUCAGCUUAAACGAGCUGUCAACAAAGAAAUAAAGCUAGGUGAGGUUACCAUUCCAGCUGGAGUUCAAGUUUAUAUUCCUACUAUUAUUGUCCAUCACGACACCGAGCUUUGGGGAGAUGAUGCAGCGGAUUUUAAGCCAGAGCGGUUCAGAGACGGGCUCUCAAAGGCAACAAAGAACCAGGUCUCUUUUUUUCCUUUCGGAUGGGGACCAAGGAUCUGCAUCGGUCAGAGUUUUGCUCUCUUGGAGGCAAAGAUGGCAAUGGCUUUGAUUCUUCAGAAAUUCUCCUUCGAGCUUUCUCCUUCCUAUGUUCACGCACCUCAAACAGUAAUGACCACACGUCCUCAAUUCGGAGCUCAUCUCAUCCUGCACAAGCUCUGAGCUUUGAAUUUCCAAGAUGACGUGAUCAAAAGUCACUGUUCUGUAAGAAAAAGAUGUCAUAGAAAGGCUUAUAUAGUCAUAGGUUUUGAAGGUUUCAAAUUUGUCUCUGAAAUUAGUCGCUAUUCGCUAAGGUUAAGGUCUUUUUCAGUCAAGUCUUAAGGUCGUUUUCCUUUGUGGCUGCAUUAUUAAUCUUGAAAAGUCUAUAUUAAGAAGCUAAUUUUAACUCUACCAUCUUCUAGAUAUGAUACGAUAUUCAGUGACUCAUCUCCAAUUUUCAUCAGUUUUCAAAGUUUUGCUGCUUUACUGUAAUGUUGGAGAAAGUUCCAAACUUUAGAGUAAGGGAAAUGUUGGAGAGUUAACUGUCCAAUCUCCCAUAAUCAUAACUCAAUAUGCUUUGGAUGCACACCAUCACUACACCAGCAAGCAACACUUCAUCCUCAGUCUCAGUCUGGUCUUUUGAACGGGUUCUUGAUGGUGCAUUGACCAUUCUUCACCUGCAAGGCUUCAACUACUUUUGCCGUCUGAGGAAGUGUUGCAGAAAGUACAUAGCUAUAGAAAUUUGGAGAGUUCAUUAUAUCUAAUCUUGCAAUUCCAUAAAUUUCUACGGAGACCUCUCGGCGUCUGACUGAUAGGUACAAACGCGCUUAUCCUUCACCCCAAAAAGAGUUGAGAGAGCAGUUCAAUUCAUCAUGCUCAGUGGAACACUUUUCAAGAUUUAUCCAUUAAAUAAAUUACAAGAAGACAAGAGCAGAUGGAAAACCCUCCUCACACGAAAAGUACAGACAAAGCCCCUUUUCCGGCAAAGGAUUUGCACUGUAAAUUGUAUAAUCGAAACUCCACUGAAAGAAAAAAAGUCUCAAUCUUUAUAAAGACCCACGAAAACUUGCGGACUCCAGAGUGAGUGUGAGAAUCGGAGAUGUCUUAUUCAGUAGUAGUAGCUUUAGUGGUGGUUGUAGCACUGUGUAUAUGGCGGAUCGUGAAGUGGUUCUGGAUAAAACCGAAGAUGCUUGAGAAUUACCUGAGAAGACAGGGUCUUGCCGGAACCUCUUACACGCCUCUCGUCGGAGAUAUAAAGAGGAAUGUUGAUAUGAUGAUGGAGGCGAGAUCUAAACCCAUCAAUAUAACGGAUGAUAUCACCCCACGUCUCCUUCCUCUUGCCUUGAAGAUGCUAAAUUCUCACGGUAUAGUGUGUCUUUCUUCGCUUUUCUGAUUCAAAGAGUGCUCUUUUUGUUUCAGUAGAGUUGGGAAUUGAGUUUGACUCUGUUAGGUUAAUU